AGAACAUAGUUCCGGCAGGAAGAACAACCUCAUUUCCAGGAAAAUGUCAAGUGACUAUUUUGAAAGGAAAAUGGAAGCAAAUCUUAAUUUUCAGAAAAAAUGAGGAAUUCGGGAUGGAAGUGCCAUAUUCUUCAGAGUAGAUGCUCCAGGCUCAUCUUGAAUAUUCCCUGUCUUGGUCUUGGAGCCAACCACUUCUGCUGAGGAAUCUGGUUUCUUUUGCUGGAGAAUGGUAGCAGAACCCAGUGACAGGCGGCCGAGGUGCUCCCUGUUCCUGAGGUGUCACCGCAUCCAGGCCCCCAGCUGACAGCUCAAGGGGAUGUUUGUGUGUGUACGAAUCUUCGUAUAUUCACGCCUCCGCAGGCGUUUCUCUGUGCACAUCUACACGUAUAUGCAGUCAGCAUGCGCUCACACGGGCGGCUCUGCUGUCAUCCACCGCCACAUGGAUCGUUCUCGCCUCCUCCCCUUGCUUACCUGUGACCUCCCACCCCAACCGCGAGCAACCAGGCGUCACCAGCUGCCAUCCACGUGGGUACUUACACAACUCCAGAGAACGUGCACAGUGGCCUCAGGAUGGCUGACCCCAGGCCCAUCUUCAGACAGUGGAUCUGCAGGCUUGGGGCAAUUUCUAAACCACCUCCCUUUCUUGAAGAUGACCUAGAGUCCGUCUGGAUCCUGUUUCUGACCCGGCCACUCAGCCCUCUCUGCCAUCGCAGGCCGGGCGCGGCAGGGCCUCCGGAGGAGCGCCACGUUCCCCGGGCGCGGCGGGCUCUUUGGCUGUCGCUUGACUAUGCUUCAGGAUCAUGGCCACGUCCUUCGAUGACACACCCUCUUCCCUUGGACGUAAGUCCUCCGAAACGCCGCCGGCAUCAGCCCCAUACUCAGUAACCUGGCAGCGGCUCCUGACUUCCUCACUGUGUCUUGACUCUUCUGCGGAGCUCCCAGGCUGGCCCUCCUCAGAUCCAGCCUCCCGGACCAUCUCCCUGGACUGCACAAUCCGCGACACAGCUGGACUUCUCUCUGCUCGCUCCCACGUGCCCUUUCUCCUUCCACCCUCAGCGACGGCGCCCCUUAGGGCCCCUACAGAAAAUCCUGCCCUCCCGGCCCCCCAGAUGCACCUGCCUGUCCUCCAGGCUCAGCUGCAGCCUUCCAGAACCAGCGCUCCUCCCCACAGUGAUUCUUGUCUUCCAGGCUUCUACGGAACCAAGCGGGCACCAAAAGUCUUGGCACUCGAUGAUCCUCUAAUUCGUGAACGCAGUGCCGAGUGAGUGCAGGUGACUGUCGGAAGUUCUGCGGUUGCCUUGGCUCAUGGGCAUCAGUUAGAGGGUGUGCUAGUGGGCAGCGGGGGCUCCGUGGAGGGCGUUACUGGCAUCUCAGUUCCCGUUGCUUAUAUGCCACUUAGUCUCGACUCUCUCAUACAUUAUGAGCCCUCAGUUGGUCAUUCUGUCCUGCACAACUUUCUCCUCCUCUGCGUCUGUCUGACUCAUCAAGCUAAAUGUAGAUUCACUAAUCUGAACUUAAAACUGAAUUCUGAAGUUCAAAUUCAUACGUGUUUUGGGAGCUCGUGAACCAACACCACUGCACACGUUUGAUCAGCUCAGAACGUGAACGUGCCUGUGUCGGGUGGAAGCUUAUGGAUAGCGACGCGGGUGACCUGAUGGCAGGUCGUUGAGCUGUUUCCCAUUCUGGUCUCUGUACACUCUGCUGUAGAAACCUUCCUCUUGUGCCGGAUCACAGUUUAUUAUCAGCCUUCUAGCCAAUUUUCUUUAAAAUCACAAAAUAAAUCAAGAGGGAAUGAGCAUGUGCAGUUGAUUCUUUGAAGACAUGAUUUGAGUCCUCCUGAUAAUAUAUGAAUUGAAGUUGUCCUUUGUGCAUUGGACUAAAUCCAGCAGCAUCAGUGGUCAAGGACAUUUGAUUAUUUUUAUAUAGUAGAAUAAAACGGAACUGAUUGCAUACUUUAUUUAAAGAAAGAUUUUACUGAGGAGAAAAGUAAUAAUCCAACAUAUUCUUAAAGCCUUGACUAGACUUCUCUUGUGGUUGGUGAGAAUGCAAUUCAUGAUGAUGUGUUAAAUAUUAAAACCAAUAUUUGAUUUAAUCCAAACUUAUAGGACAGCUUUGCUUAAUCUACUGCCUGUCACACAAUUUCCUUUCCAGGUAACUUUCAGCUCACUGCAUCAGUAACAGUGCCCACGUCCUUCUGCUGUCUCAGCGAGCCUGGUAUCGCAGUUGAACUGUCCAACACUGGAUUCCUGCAGCUUGGGUCCCUCUCUCUUUUCCUCUUCUUCCCUUCACCUGGGCUACCUUGUCAUUCCAUCAUGACUCCGUGAGUUCAAGUGUGGAAGCUGGAGGCAUUUUUCAAGAGUCAGCAUCUGGGUUUGCCUUGACCUUGAACGCUUUCUUGGUGAUGAAAGGAUAAGUUCUUGCCAAGGGCACGUUCCUUCCAAGGAACAGCAUCAGAGAAGGAAGAAGCUAGCCCCUUCCUCUCACCUCUUCAAGAUUCUCAUCUUCAGUAACGAAUGGUGUGGCUACUAAAUUCAGUUUCCUUUCGGAUUUCCCUGUAGUGGAUCCAUCCAUCAUGUUCCCGGGUAGGUGGAAGACGGAGGUGCAGUUGCAGGGUUCUGUCCAUCAGGGAAUUUACUGACAAUGUUCACUCGAAAUGUUCGUCAUAUUAGGAAGGUAGAAUAUUGCAAGUCACGGAGUCUCCUUGGCCAAGGUUUGCUGGCCAAGGAGACAUUCUUAGCCACUUGGACAACUUGGCAUAAGUUUCUGGGGGUUGCAGAUGGGCACCUUGUCAGUCCAGGAGGAGCAGGUCUUUGGUAACCUGAUGGGUGAGAAGGGACAUUUGCGGGCAGCUGGGAAGGGGCUGCCUCCUUCAUCCCUGCACGCUCAGUCCUCAGAGGACCUGGGACCUGGUGUGUGCUUGUUGAAUGGCUAAGCAGAAGACCAAAGGAGAUAGAGAAGGACAAUCCCGUUCUCUUCUGCAGGUGCCAGUGGGAGUGGGCACAAAAGCAGCACUGAGGGGAGGAGGUGCUGAAAUCAGACGCCCCCUCCCCACUCUGCUCACAGCACUCAGUAGGUGUUCUCAGCCUGGGGACUUAAGAGAUACGUAUUUGGGUCCACAGGAGACCAGCUAAGUCAGAAUCCUUAGGAAGGUGGGAGGAACAAAAGAUGGAAGGUAGAACCAGGCCCUUCUCAAGGCCAAGGGCCCGUGGGGGAGAGGAGGAGACAGGGAGGGCGUCAGGCAAGAACAGGAACAGGCCUGACCCAGGCAGAGGGAGCCUCUGCCUUGUUGGGGCCUGUGGCUGGGCCUCCAUAGGGGGAUCUCUUCCCUCUGCAUCUCCAAGACAGGGAGAAGACGCGUGGUUCUGGCUGAUGUUUGUCCCUGGGCCCUCUCCUCACUAAUUCAUCCUCUCAUGCAAAGUCUGCAGCAU